AAAGAGAGAUGGAAAGAGAAGGAACCAUGCCCCCCCAAAGGGUGGCAGCCACUGGUUAAGAACUUUCCCUCCUCACCAAGUUUCUAACUAGUGUCACCAUUACUUAGCUCCACUUCCACCUUUCCUGUUAACGCCUUCUUUUUUUUCUUUUAAACCCCACUUUACUGAGGUAUGAUUGAUAUAAAAAAAGCUCUACUUGAUGAGUUUGAAGUAAAUACAUACCUGUGAAACCAUCAUCACAAUCUAAGCGGGCCACUCUCACAGCAUAUGGAGGUUCCCAGGCUAGGGGUCGAAUCGGAGCUACAGCUGCCAGCCCAUGCCACAGCCACAGCAACGCAGGAUCCGAGCCACGUCCGUGACCUACACCAUAGCUUGUGGCAACACCAGAUUCUUAACCCACUGAGUGAGGCGGGGAUCGAACCUGCAACCUCGUGGUUCUUAGUCGGAUUUGUUUCCACUCUGCAACAGUGGGAACUCCGAAAACAUGGAAGUAAUCUAAAUGUCCACUUGUGGAUAAAUGGAUAAAGAAAAUGUCAUGUGUACACAAAAUGGAAUAUUAUUCAGCCUUGAUAAAGAAGGAAAUACUGCCAUUUGUGACAUGGAUGAACUUGGAGGGCAUUGUGCUAAAAAAAGAUAAGUGAGACUAGAAAGACAAAUACUGGGUGAUACAAUUCAUAUGAGGAAUCUAAAACAGUCAAAUUCACUGGAGCAGAGAGUAGCAUAGCAGUUGCCCUGGGCUAGGGGUGGGGGGAAUAAGCCUUUUUAGUCAAAGGCUACACAGUUUCAGUUAUGCAAGAUGAGUAUGUCAACUCACAGUUUUAAUAUCCAUCAUAUGACUGAAUGUACUAGAAAGUGACCCAGACUACUAGUGACCAAAUCCAAUGUUCUUUCUCAGUCUUUAAUUAAUUUCAUCUAACACUUCUUACCAUUCCCACUUCUUUAAAUUUUUCUUCCCUUGUCUUCUAAGACCCAUUUUUCUCGAUUCACCUCGCAUCUCUCUAUUCUUUUAUCAUGCUAGCUUCUUCUUUCUAACUUCUAAAUGUAUGUAUUUCAAAAGUUUCUGUAGCAUUCAAGAUAAGCUAGCUUGCUCUAUAGCAACAAACAACUCUUAAAUUUCUAUAGCAACAAACAACCCUUAAAUUUUGAGUGGUUUGAAACAACAAAAGUUUGUUUCUUGCUCACGCUACUUUUUCAUCUGUGGUGGGAUGGGUCCCACCAUUGAAGUCACCUAGAUACCCAGACUUACUGAGGAGUCUUCUUGUAUACUUUAAUGAUUGCUGAGCCAGGAAAAGAGAGGUGUAUCAAAUUGUGCAUUACCUUUUUAAGCUUCUGUCUGGAAGUUACUUUUACUCAUGUUUAUUUGGGUAAACAAUCAUAUGACAAUGACAUCAUUUAUCUGGAAGGACAUGAGAACUGGAUUAAUUAUGAAAGACCUUGAUGACUGCAAUAUAUUUCUUUCUAAUUUCUGUAAUUUUAUUCUUUCCAUGGAUGGUGAUAUCUGGUCUUAUGACUUCGUCUAAUUCUUUGUACUUAGGACUCCGAACGCUUAGAGCUAAAGGUACUAACAUGUUCAUUUGGCUUCCCAAGCCACAUACUAUCGGAAACUAAAAUUAAAAAAAAUUAAAAUACUAUUAAAACUAUCAUUAUUUCCUUACUUCUACUAACGGCCUCUGAAUUUUCCCAGUAAAGCAAGUUAAGAAACUUACUUAUCAUCCCUCUUCCUUAAGUUUCCCAUAUCCACCACUAAUGUUUGGUGAUUUUUGCCACUGUACUGUCUCUCCAGUGUGGCUCCUCCACUCCAUUCGCAUUACAUUUUCUCCUGUCACAGUCUUUUCUGUGUCUUUUGCAUGGAUUCUGUCAAUAGGUUCCAAAAUAGUUUUUUUUUUUUUUUAAAUCCUUUUCAUCUUCCCUGGACAUUUUUGCCAAAGUAAUCUUAUAUUUUGAUUAUACCAUUCCUUUAGUCAAACCACUAUUUCAUUCUCUACUGCUUAUGAAAUCAAGACAUACCUUUUUUCUUUGGUCAUUUUUAGGGCCUCACCUGCAGCAUAUGGAGGUUUCCAGGCUAGAGGUCUAAUCGGAGCUGUAGCCAAUGGCCUACCCCACAGACACAGCAACACAGGAUCCGAGUUGCGUCUACAACCUACACCACAGCUCAAGGCAAUGCCAGAUCCUUAACCCGCUGAGCGUGGCCAGGGAUCAAACUUGUGUCCUCCUAGCUACUAGUCAGAUUUGUUUCCACUGAGCCAUGGCAAGAACUCCUCAAGCAAACACUUCUUAGCCUGAUAUUCAGUACCCUUCUCAACCUAACUUACUGUCAGUUGUAGUCACUGAUCCUUGGCUUUCCUUUUAUUUAUUUAUUUAUUUUUUAUUUUAUUUAUUUUCUAUGAUGUAUGUACUCAGUGUCCCACACAUAUUUGGAGGGACCAAAACUCUCUGUUUUCCCAGGACCGAGAGGUUUCUUGGAAUGGAAGACUUCCAGUGCCCAAAACUGGAAAGUCUCAGGCAAACUAGGGUGAGUCGGCCUCCCUAGAUUUUUCCAUACUCACCAUUCCCCACGCAUGCCACUCUCUAUGAAUUUACUCACAUCCCCCUGACCAGAAUGGCUACCUAUCCUUAUUCUUUCCAUUAAAAUUCUGGCCUUUCAUUGAUCAAUCUCUUAGAAGAAUCCUUUCUCCCAAUGCAGAAUUAAUAUUUUCCUCUAGUACCCUCUCACAGUAUUUUUUUCACUCCUCUGUUAUAGUACACAACACUUUUUCCAGUAAGCUGUAGCUAAUUGAGUGUAUAUAGUACGUGUUUAUCUCCUUCUCUAGGUUGUAAGCUCGAUCCCAUAAUAGGGAUCAAUAAAUACGUGUUUAAUGGAAAUGAGGGAGCAAAAAGAAAGGUGAGGGCAAGGAAAGAAGGAAAAGUGAGCAUAGAUGGGGUACAGAGGGAGGAAGAGAGGGGAGAUGGGAAAAUCUCGUGCAUGUCCAGCUGUUUUUUCCUACAUUGAUACCCAGAUCUGUUCCUUUCCUACUGGUGUUGCACCCAAACACCAAUUACUUACUGUUCUCUACAUUAUACAACUGUCUAUUCCCAAUUUCCAGAGGCUCUUAACUCCAUAUCACUUUUAGCUUGUUUUAAUCCACCCAUGGUAGGUAUCUUUCACUGCCCCGCCCCCAACCCUAAAGCUUAAGCCAGUACUGACACAAGAAAGUUUGGGUUAUAUCACUUACGCCACUGUCAUCAGUCCCAACCCACUCAUAAUUUAUUUCUGGGCCCUGUGAUAAUAGGAUAUUCUCUUUUAAGAUUACAUUUGCAGGGAGUUCCCGUUGUGGCUUGGCAUUACCAACCUGACUAGUAUCCAUGAGGAUGCGGGUUCGAUACCUGGCCUUGCUCAGUGGGUUAAGGAUUUAGUGCUUUGAGUUGUGGUGUAGGUCGUAGAUACAGCUUGGAUCCUGUGAUGCUGUGGCUGUGGCGUAGGCUGGCAGCUGCAGCUCCAGUUAGCCCCCUAGCCUGGGAACCUCCAUAUGCCAUG
ensembl:lncRNA